GUAAUGCCAAACCCUCUUACUCAGCAAACGGGGGAGCCGGAGCAGACACGGAACCACAGUGGCACUGAGGAGGCUCAGUGGGACCAAGGUCACCUGGGAACAAAGGUCAGCUGGGAGCAAAGGUCACCUGGGAGCAAAGGUCACCUGGGUCCAAGGUCAGCUGGGGCCAAGGUCACCACAGGUCCUGAUCGUGUUCUUUAACUUCAGAACUAGCAUUUCCUCAUACACUGAAUGAGGCCGCCUCUACCAGAGUGGGAUGCGGGGAUGAGGGAAGUCAAUGAAGGGGAGACACCGAGCGCCAACACCGAGCGCCAACACCGAGCGCCAACACCGAGCGCCAACACCGAGCGCCAACACCGAGCGCCAACACCGAGCGCCAACACCGAGCCCUUCGUUUCCCCAGAUGGAAGCCGACCAGGUUGAUCAAGCUCUGCUAAACGUGCCCACUUCGACUCGAGCCCCCAUUUUAACAUUUGAACAUUUGAACAUUUGUGUGUGAGCCCCGGUCUAGCUUUUCCUCCGUGCUGCUGCAGAGGCAGUAGUUACGGCCCGGAAGACUGGCAGGCAGCUCCAGACUGGGAGGGGGGCUCUGCUCAGAAACACCGCAAUUACCAGCUUUGCUAGGGGGCUCCUAGCAAAGCUGCUGGCAGGCGGGGGCGUCCCGCCCACAAACCCCAAAUGGUCCCCUGCAUGGCUGACCGGAGUCUAGACCAUCCGGCCCGACAGAGCGCCGAAUGAACAGGCACGCACACACGCAAACAUGCACACUAGGGCUUUGACUUUUUCCCAAAAAUCAUAUUCGAAGUUUGUUUGUUUAUUAAUAUUAAUAUUCGAAUGUUUAUUAAUAAUAUUUUGACCAUUGAAUGCCUUCAGUAAGACCUGGAUUGGGCUUCGCAAAGGUUUGUUUACCGCGUUGCUAUGGUUACCGGUCUUGCGUGUUCCAACGGUUUAUUAGGUUUCUAAUAAAUCGCUGUCUAAUCAAUACUUCA